UAAUGCACCGCAAUGCUUAGCAACGAAAACACUAGUGAACAAUGAAUCGCCAGAACAAAUCGAAACUUCCAUUUUGCUUCUUAAAAGAGAGGAAAUAACAUCUUUAGAUGAUUCUCUUAAAGGGCUCUCUAAUACAAACAAUCCUUGAAAGGUAACAUUGGAUUCUAGAGUAGAACGAGAAAGAUGUAUCAAUUCUUGAAGUGGAGUAAUAAGGUUCUUGGAUGCAAAUGCAAUGAUUCGAAACCCUUUAGAUGAAAGCGUAUGAAUAACUUCCUGUACAUUGCUUGGAAUGGACUGUUGAGAAGAAAUAGCUAAUAUCGAUUCUGGAGCUCCUUUUGUGAAUAACAUUAAAGACCUCUCAGUACUAGUAGAGCAAAUUACUGACAUCCGACGUAAAACCGGAUCAAAUUCCAAUGCCUUAUAGAUAGAAAAAAUUUGACUGGGUCCAUCGAAAGAAUUGGAUACGGAAAAUAACGGAGGAUGUGGAGUAUUUGAAGCUCUGAUAGUGGCACAAAAAGUUCCAUUGAACUGAGUAAAGAGUGUGACUUCCAAAGGAUCACCAACAAGUUCAUUACCAACAAGUUCCAAUGAUUGAGAACAUGUAGCUACUCUGUAGGCAUGUGCGUUUAACUUUGUACUAUCGAGAGAUAAACUGUCAGCAU